rnacentral:lncRNA from 1 species
UGUUUAUCUUUGUUUAUUUUUUCCUAGGAUAACUUUGUAAAUCUAUAUUCACAAGCUGAGUCUCAACCUCAACCUUCUGAGUCUGGUAAUAAUGAGAGUGGUACUCAAUCGAAGCCAAUUGAUUAUGAUACACUAAUGAUUGAAGCUGUUGGAGGAAGAAAUGCAAAGGGCAUAGUAUAUGGACUUAGUUUGGAUGGACAUAACCUCACCCGUGGCUCAACAUCUACAUCAAAUAGAUAUU